rnacentral:rRNA from 1 species
GUCGGUUGUGAAAGCCCCGGGCUUAACCCCGGGUCUGCAGUCGAUACGGGCAGGCUAGAGUUGGGUAGGGCAGAUCGGAAUUCCUGGUGUAGCGGUGAAAUGCGCAGAUAUCAGGAGGAACACGGGUGGCGAAGGCGGAUCUCUGGGCCGAUACUGACGCUGAGGAGCGAAAGCGUGGGGAGCGAACAGGAUUAGAUACCCUGGUAGUCCACGUCGUAAACGUUGGGCGCUAGGUGUGGGCGAGAUUCCACGUUGUCCGCGCGCAGCUAACGCAUUAAGUGCCCCCUUGGGGAGUACGGCCGCAAGGCUAAACUCAAAGGAAUUGACGGGGGCCCGCACAAGCGGGGGAGCAUGUGGCUUAAUUCGACGCAACGCGAAGAACCUUACCAAGGCUUGACAUCCACCGGAAACGGCCCGAGACGGUCCCCCCCUUGUGGUCGGUGUACAGGUGGUGCAU